rnacentral:rRNA from 1 species
CCUACGGGAGGCAGCAGUGGGGGAUAUUGGACAAUGGGGGGAACCCUGAUCCAGCGACGCCGCGUGAGUGAAGAAGUAUCUCGGUAUGUAAAGCUCUAUCAGCAGGGAAGAAGAAAUGACGGUACCUGAGUAAGAAGCCCCGGCUAACUACGUGCCAGCAGCCGCGGUAAUACGUAGGGGGCAAGCGUUAUCCGGAUUUAUUGGGUUUAAAGGGUGCGCAGGCGGAGGUUCAAGUCAGUGGUCAAAUUGCGGGGCUCAACCCCGUCCUGCCGUUGAAACUGCAUCCCUUGAGUGCGCGAGAAGUAUGCGGAAUGCGUGGUGUAGCGGUGAAAUGCAUAGAUAUCACGCAGAACUCCGAUUGCGAAGGCAGCAUACCGGCGCGCAACUGACGCUCAUGCACGAAAGCGUGGGUAUCGAACAGGAUUAGAUACCCCUGUAGUC